AAUAAAAGAAUGACAGAUUGGAUUCUUUUUCUCCUAAUUUUUAGCUUUUUCCUCUUGACAAAAAUUUAAAUUUAACUAAAAAUGCUAAAAAUCAGGAGAAAAAAUCUAAUUUAUCAUUCUCUUAUU
rfam:Gossypium raimondii Chr01_contig_268, whole genome shotgun sequence.